rnacentral:rRNA from 1 species
GUCGGUAAAACUCGUGCCAGCCACCGCGGUUAUACGAGAGGCCCAAGUUGAUAGACUACGGCGUAAAGCGUGGUUAAGAAACACAUUAAACUAAAGCCGAAUGCCCUCAGAGCUGUUAUACGCUCACGAUGGUCAGAAGCCCAAUCACGAAAGUAGCUUUACUUAACCUGAAGCCACGAAAGCUAUGACACAAACUGGGAUUAGAUACCCCACUAUG